GUGGGGAAUCUUCCGCAAUGGACGAAAGUCUGACGGAGCAACGCCGCGUGAGUGAAGAAGGUUUUCGGAUCGUAAAGCUCUUUCGUUAGGGACGAACGUGCUCUUUGUGAAUAAUGAGGAGUAAUGACGGUACCUAAAUAAGAAGCCACGGCUAACUACGUGCCAGCAGCCGCGGUAAUACGUAGGUGGCAAGCGUUGUCCGGACUUAUUGGGCGUAAAGCGCGCGCAGGCGGGAUAUCAAGUCUGUCUUAAAAGUGCGAGGCUCAACCUCGUGAGGGGACAGAAACUGGUAUUCUUGAGUGUCGGAGAGGAAAGUGGAAUUCCAAGUGUAGCGGUGAAAUGCGUAGAGAUUUGGAAGAACACCAGUGGCGAAGGCGACUUUCUGGACGAUGUCUGACGCUGAGGCGCGAAAGCUAGGGGAGCGAACGGGAUUAGAUACCCUGGUAGUCC
rnacentral:rRNA from 1 species